AGGGAUGUAGCGCAGCUUGGUAGCGCGUUUGUUUUGGGUACAAAUGUCACAGGUUCAAAUCCUGUCAUCCCUA
rnacentral:tRNA from 1 species